rnacentral:snRNA from 1 species
GUGCUUGCUCAGGCAAAACAGUUCAUAACACUGGAACAAUACAGGGAGAUUAGCAUGCCCCCUACACAGGGAUGACAUGCAAGUUCAUACAGUGCUCUGUACAUCA